rnacentral:lncRNA from 1 species
GAUCUAAUCUUGAAACUCCUAUAAACAGACCGAUAACAUGAAUUUACAUGCAUAAAAAUCUGAAUUUAAAACAACAAGCAUGUGAACAAACAUUAUAAUAAAUCUAACCUACCACUAUUAGGGUUUCGAACCCUAUACCUGAUAGCGGAUAGUCAAACUCCAUAAUUGAGAAUGUAGAUUUGAAAGUCCUCGCUAGCCACUCACAGCCACAUAAGUGUCCGACCUCUAUAGAUGGUCCACACGAAGCCC